CCCUAGCCCAGAUGGAAACGGCAUCCUGUUGUGCCAGGGUUUGGCACAACAGAUAGAGUGUACAGCUGGAAAUAGC
rnacentral:sRNA from 1 species